CUAAUGUACCUGGAGGUGGCUCAAGUUUGAGGCUUAUUUGCAUAUACUGUGUCCUCUUGUGUGUGAAGAAGGUGUUUCUUUUGGUGUGCCUUCCUAUGACCUUUGACCUUGCCUCUCUCUCUGCAGUUCCACUGUGCAUGUCAGCUGACUGAUUGCUACCUGCACUAAAUCUGCACCAACUAUAUUAGCGUGUGUUGAAAGCUUCCUCCAGACAUGAGGGCCAAAUCUCCAGGUGCUUUCAGCUCCAUUACUAUGUGUGUGUGUGUGUGUUUCUGUUUGUGUCUAUGUGUGCUUGCAUCAGUCUUGGACUGUAUCAAUUUUGCAAGCUUCAUAAAAGGUUGUCAGUAUUUAAAAUCAUUUUAUCGUAAGACACCAGUGUCAAAUUUUUGUGGUUAUUUGGCUUUAAAAUUAUACGCUGGCAUCUAACAAUAAGAUUGUCUUUAAUUUUUGCUUUUAUCAGUCACUGACUCUAGGUGCUGCGCUAUAAUCCACGUGCCGUUGUAAAGCUUAGACUCUUCGCACUUUGAUGCAAGAAACCCAGUAAAACCACUAGAGAUAAAAGAGAUAACAUGGCAGUCCCCUUCGCCAAAGGUGGGCUGAAAUUGUCCCCAGAUUGGUGAUUACAGUGUUUGUAACCUAAUAACUGUCUGCAACUACUCAAACAACUGCCGAUACUACAGUAAUUGAAGUCACCAAAAUCCCAUUCAGAGCCAUAAGCAAAGUCUUUCAAAUGUUGUUUUACGGCUUCCAGCUAGCUGAAAAUGUGGCUUUCUAUUCUGCUGCAUAUCCAGUUGCUUUCACUUCACAUUUUUGUAUUGCGUAUGAGUGGAAGCUUCGGGAACACUUUAUCAAUUAUUGAUCGGAGGUAUGUUUGUUUAUUUCCAAUGCUUGUGUGAAGGAAACUGCAAUAGUGAUAAAGGGCACUACAUUAUUUAAAAUUAUGAUUUUAUACUUUUGUGAACAGUUCAAAUUUUCUUCCUCGUGGGCUUGCACCUUGUUGUGAUCAGGAGGAUUGUGUACCUCUUUGACCCUAUGAGCUACGUCAAUGAGAAGAAACUCUUGGCAGGGUUUGGACAGGUCUAAGGUGAGAAGCAGGCACAGUCAAAUGAACUGCUAUUGUAGAAAGCACUGCCUGCUCACAUAUGUGUGUGUGUGUGUGUGUGUGUGUGUGUGUAUGUGUGUCUGCAUGCGAGGCUGUUGGUAUAAGAAAUGAGUUCCCUCACUUCACACUUCAGCUACUAAUAAAAUGGGUUCUGGGAGGCUCUGCCUCAUUUCAUACAGCCACUGUUUGCAUAUGCAAAUUGCAACAGCCUGCUUCCUACUUACAACCCGGACUUACAGCAGCCUGACUGCUGAGCACAGGUCAGAGUGCACAGCAAGAGAACCAGACUAUUUUGAGAAGCACUGCUGGCCCCUUGUGUGAUACCUGAUUCUGAAGGAGGACGAUCACUACCAGAGAGCCUGCAAAGAGCAGGAGAAGGAGGCCUGGUUAUACCAUAAAUGGCAGAGUAAGCGCUUCUGGAACUUUCCGGCCUCCUCCUCCUCCAACUCAUCCUCAUCUUCCUCAUCCUCUUCUUUCUCUGGCUCCUCUGCCAUAAUUUAAUUUACUUCGCCCAGAGAGAGACUCCACCCUUCAGGACUAGCCUCCUCCUGGACCUCCCCUGUGUCUGGGCCUGGCUUUCUGAGCUUGGGCCCAGGGGGACAGGGGUGCAAGAGCCAGGCCCAGAAAUGCUGCAGACACGGGACCAGCCCACAUUUCUCCUCCUUCGUUUAGACAUUUUCGGACGGCAUCUAAAUUAAAUGCUUUUCUGUGUCUCUGAAUUGUGCUGGAACGCAGAACAGUCUUCAGAACGUGGACUUAAAAUCGGAAAGUGUUGCAUUUAACAUACUCUUCUGUGUAAUUUCUGUAUGAGCCAAACCCUGGGGAGCACAACCGGUGGAAGGACAUUGUCUCAUCAGCCAACCACUCGCCCUCUUAGCAUAUGUCACCUAUUUACCUUACGGUCAUUGGAGGACAGUUCACCAUGUUGACAGUUCACCAGUUCUUCCAGUUGAGUUCUGUUAGUAGAACAAGGGGACAUAAAUGCAAAUGAACAAAAUGUAGAUUCCAUACAGGCUGUUACGGCCCAAGACUGCCAAGUUUCAGUAACCGGCUGUCCGUCCAUAGCCAAACACGUUUAAAUACACCACAACAUUCUUUACCAGAAUACAAAGUAUAUAUUUAUUACAAACCCAAUAACCCAAUACAAUACAAAAACCCACAUACAAACAGGUAGACAGGACAGAACCAGCAGAUCUAACCUAACACUCACUGUCUAAAUGGAACAUAACUUCUGCCCUCACUACCGUCGAGGAUGGGACGAGACAAAGAAGAAAUUAAAGGGGAGAAAGUGAGUCUUCUGGUCCGCUGCUACCCUACACUGACUGACUAGAACAAAAAGGUGCAAAAGAAAAGAAAACCUUACCACAUGGUCUAUGAAGUAUACAACGUGAUAUUUUGACAAAGAACAAUGUUGACUGUUAAACGAAAUAACAAGACACAGUAGUCGCAGCUUGUAGCGUCUCUACAAGAACAAUGAGAGAGAGAUCGAGAGAGAGUGCUGUCCCGAUAUCACCAUCUUUUAUGGGGGAGGAAAUUUGGCAAUUUGCACCUGGAACCGACCAGCACACACGCCUGUGCACUGCAGCCUUUGGAGAGCGACUCCUACUGGAGAAAAGAUGAUAAAUUACUAAAAACGAAUUACAGUAAAAAUAAUAACUAGGAGCAUAUAACACCCCCACCCUUAAGACAAAAAAAAUACAAAAGUUAGUGUUUUUUUUUUUUGUAAACACCUUUUUCCAAAGACUCUAGAUUAGUCUAAUAUAGGAUUACCAAAAGCGAGGACCACAGACAAAAGUGCACAAAAGUAGUACACGCAACAAAGUCCACUCAGGACAGCCAAAGCGUCACUAAAAACAAAAGCGCAAAAAUAGUGCAAGCCAUCAAAGUGUAACAACCGACACAAACACAGUACUGCUGACAAAAGUACACAGACAGUUCAAGCGACAAAGUCCCACUCUGGGCACACAAAUCAAGUACUGUCAACAAAAGUGCACAAAGCAACACAAAAAGUGUAACGGUUGUAACACUGGCAAAAUCCAAUUAGACACCACCUCAUCUUGAUCAAAAUCAGAUGAGACAACUGCACCUUCAUUCAAAGGAACAGGUGAGGUUUGGAGAUUGGGGUCAUUCAUUUCAGCCCUGGACAGCACCACUGGCUUCACAUCACUCACUAGGAGGAACAAAAACAGACGGAGUGACAGGCUGUUUUAACAGCACAGAACAAUGAGCCUCAACUGGAAUUAACAAAGUCCAGGUCAUGGACGAGACCACGCAAGCACUUAAAGGAAGCCAACAAAUUCCAACACGUGGACAUAAAGCUAUCCAUAUAAUUAAGGCAAGCAACAAAUAUCCAAAUACCAGAUUGCUCCAAAAUGUUCAGAAUCAUUUCAAACAAAAUUGCCACAUACAAAGUACCCCUGGGAUACAUUUUCGUUUCAGACACUGCACAUUCAAAGAGAGAGGACAAGCUGGGAUCCUUCCUCCGUUCUACAACAAGCUGUCCACGAGACAGAGACAUUUUACCAAGCCCUUGAUCACAGGGACUUGCACAUUCAGCCUUAGUGACAGGAGUGGCGAAACCGUCGAUUUGCGGAGGGGCUGUGCACAACAAGGUUCAGAUGUGGCUAAAAAUGUGUCACAAAGAUUAAUUUCAUCAAGACCACCAUCCAAACCAAUAUCAGGGUUUUCUUUUCUAAGGCUCUAUGCCAUAGUGCGUGUAACCGCACACACAGGAAACACCUCCGGGUAUUUCUGUGCCAACUCAUCAGGGUUAAGAGAAGCAACAGGGACAGCAACUACCUCGGGGUCUGACGACACCUUUCCCCCAGCCAAGUCGUUACCCAGUAUAACCGACACACCUUUAACAGGGAGGCCAGGCCGCACGCCGACAACAACACGUCCAGUCACUAAAGUAGAGCUUGGGGCGUGGUUUUUCCUCUAACUCUCUCUCGCCUCAGGCGAUCACUCUCACCUGUUCCGGCCGCAUUCUCACACACUGGUUAAUCAGUCAUUUCAUUCACCUGUUCCCUGUUUGCAUGUUCACGCUCUGUUCAAUUAUCUCUCAUUUCAGUUACCUGGUUCACUUGGUAUAUAUUCUCUGUUUCCCUGUUCUUCCGUGCCAAAUUGUGCCUCUGUUUACAGUGCCUUUCCAGCAUUUACCCUCUUAUUUGUUUGACUCGUGUUUAGAUCUUGCCUGUUUUCCCGACCACCGAUUUUUGCCUGCCGUCUUUGUUUUGCUGAUUUCCUGUUCUGACCUCCACCUGUUUACCGACUUUGAUUUUUGCCUUCCGAUUUUGUACGUUUGCCCCGGUGAAUUUUUCUGGUUUUGAUCUUUGCACGAACUGACUACGAGACUGCCUGCUGUAUUGUGUACUUCCGCAUUAAACAUCACCUAUGGGAGUUUCACCA